GACGAACGCUUGCGGCGUGCUUAACACAUGCAAGUCGAACGGAAAGGCCCUGCUUUUGUGGGGUGCUCGAGUGGCGAACGGGAGAGUAACACGUGAGUAACCUGCCCUUGACUUUGGGAUAACUUCAGGUAACUGGGGCUAAUACCGGAUAGGAGCUCCUGCUGCAUGGUGGGGGUUGGAAAGUUUCGGCGGUUGGGGAUGGACUCGCGGCUUAUCAGCUUGUUGGUGGGGUAGUGGCUUACCAAGGCUUUGACGGGUAGCCGGCCUGAGAGGGUGACCGGCCACAUUGGGACUGAGAUACGGCCCAGACUCCUACGGGAGGCAGCAGUGGGGAAUAUUGCACAAUGGGCGGAAGCCUGAUGCAGCAACGCCGCGUGCGGGAUGACGGCCUUCGGGUUGUAAACCGCUUUCGCCUGUGACGAAGCGUGAGUGACGGUAAUGGGUGAAGAAGCACCGGCUAACUACGUGCCAGCAGCCGCGGUGAUACGUAGGGUGCGAGCGUUGUCCGGAUUUAUUGGGCGUAAAGGGCUCGUAGGUGGUUGAUCGCGUCGGAAGUGUAAUCUUGGGGCUUAACCCUGAGCGUGCUUUCGAUACGGGUUGACUUGAGGAAGGUAGGGGAGAAUGGAGUUCCUGGUGGAGCGGUGGAAUGCGCAGAUAUCAGGAGGAACACCAGUGGCGAAGGCGGUUCUCUGGGCCUUUCCUGACGCUGAGGAGCGAAAGCGUGGGGAGCGAACAGGCUUAGAUACCCUGGUAGUCCACGCUGUAAACGGUGGGUACUAGGUGUGGGGUCCAUUCCACGGGUUCCGUGCCGUAGCUAACGCUUUAAGUACCCCGCCUGGGGAGUACGGCCGCAAGGCUAAAACUCAAAGGAAUUGACGGGGCCCCGCACAAGCGGCGGAGCAUGCGGAUUAAUUCGAUGCAACGCGUAGAACCUUACCUGGGUUUGACAUGGAUCGGGAGUGCUCAGAGAUGGGUGUGCCUCUUUUGGGGUCGGUUCACAGGUGGUGCAUGGCUGUCGUCAGCUCGUGUCGUGAGAUGUUGGGUUAAGUCCCGCAACGAGCGCAACCCUUGUUCACUGUUGCCAGCACGUUAUGGUGGGGACUCAGUGGAGACCGCCGGGGUCAACUCGGAGGAAGGUGGGGAUGACGUCAAGUCAUCAUGCCCCUUAUGUCCAGGGCUUCACGCAUGCUACAAUGGCUGGUACAGAGAGUGGCGAGCCUGUGAGGGUGAGCGAAUCUCGGAAAGCCGGUCUCAGUUCGGAUUGGGGUCUGCAACUCGACCUCAUGAAGUCGGAGUCGCUAGUAAUCGCAGAUCAGCAACGCUGCGGUGAAUACGUUCCCGGG
rnacentral:rRNA from 1 species